rnacentral:rRNA from 1 species
AGAGUUUGAUCCUGGCUCAGGACGAACGCUGGCGGCGUGCUUAACACAUGCAAGUCGAACGGUAAGGCCCUUCGGGGGGGUACACGAGUGGCGAACGGGUGAGUAACACGUGAGUAACCUGCCCUUGACUCUGGAAUAAGCACUCGAAAGGGUGUCUAAUACCGGAUAUUCAGCCUGGGACGCAUGUUUCGGGUUGGAAAGUUUUUCGGUCAAGGAUGGACUCGCGGCCUAUCAGCUUGUUGGUGAGGUAAUGGCUCACCAAGGCUUCGACGGGUAGCCGGCUGAGAGGGCGACCGGCCACAUUGGGACUGAGAUACGGCCCAAACUCCUACGGGAGGCAGCAGUGGGGGGGAAUAUUGCGCAAUGGGCGGAAGCCUGACGCAGCAACGCCGCGUGCGGGAAGACGGCCUUCGGGUUGUAAACCGCUUUCAGCAGGGACGAAGCUAACGUGACGGUACCUGCAGAAGAAGCACCGGCCAACUACGUGCCAGCAGCCGCGGUGAUACGUAGGGUGCGAGCGUUGUCCGGAAUUAUUGGGCGUAAAGAGCUUGUAGGCGGUUUGUCACGUCGGAAGUGAAAACUCAGGGCUUAACUCUGAGCCUGCUUCCGAUACGGGCUGACUAGAGGAAGUUAGGGGAGAAUGGAAUUCCUGGUGGAGCGGUGGAAUGCGCAGAUAUCAGGAGGAACACCGGUGGCGAAGGCGGUUCUCUGGGACUUUCCUGACGCUGAGAAGCGAAAGCGUGGGGGAGCAAACAGGCUUAGAUACCCUGGUAGUCCACGCCGUAAACGGUGGGCACUAGGUGUGGGGGACAUUCCACGUUCUCCGUGCCGUAGCUAACGCAUUAAGUGCCCCCGCCUGGGGAGUACGGCCGCAAGGCUAAAACUCAAAGGAAUUGACGGGGGGCCCGCACAAGCGGCGGAGCAUGCGGAUUAAUUCGAUGCAACGCGAAGAACCUUACCUGGGUUUGACAUAUGCCGGAAACAUUCAGAGAUGGGUGCCCCCUUCGGGUCGGUAUACAGGUGGUGCAUGGCUGUCGUCAGCUCGUGUCGUGAGAUGUUGGGUUAAGUCCCGCAACGAGCGCAACCCUCGUCCUAUGUUGCCAGCAAUUCGGUUGGGGGACUCAUAGGAGACUGCCGGGGGUCAACUCGGAGGAAGGUGGGGGAUGAGGUCAAGUCAUCAUGCCCCCUUAUGUCCAGGGCUUCACGCAUGCUACAAUGGCUGGUACAGAGGGCUGCGAGACCGUGAGGUUCAGCGAAUCCCUAAAAGCCAGUCUCAGUUCGGAUUGGGGGGGUCUGCAACUCGACCCCAUGAAGUCGGAGUCGCUAGUAAUCGCAGAUCAGCAACGCUGCGGUGAAUACGUUCCCGGGCCUUGUACACACCGCCCGUCAAGUCAUGAAAGUCGGCAACACCCGAAGCCGGUGGCCUAACCCUUGUGGGGGGGAGCCGUCGAAGGUGGGGCUGGUAAUUAGGACUAAGUCGUAACAAGGUAGCCGUACCGGAAGGUGCGGCUGGAUC